GCCCCCGCGCCCCCUUCUCCCGCUUCCGGGCCGCUCGGAGCCCCGCCCUUUUCCUCUGCUCGCGCGCCCCCUCCUCCCGCUUCCCGCUCGGUUAGUCAGCCCCCCACUUGCUGUCUCUAAGGGAGAGAGGCAGCAAGGCAGGGGGAGCAGGAGCCAGCUUAAAAACCAGCUCCUACCUGCCACCCUGCUCUCAGGGAGCUGGCUGCUGCCAUGUGCUACUGCCUCUGAUCCAGAGGGCACAGGGGAGGCAGAGGUGUAGCAGGAGGCUUGGCUCUUAAUAAAUUUAAGAAGCAGAGGUGCAACAUCUGGGACCUGGGCCAGGACAGCUGAUUCCUGGCUUGUACCCAGUUCCCCUUCCCCCAGCAUUUAAAUGUAUUAAGAGUUGCCAUUUUAAAGGAUGCUCCUUGCUCUGACCAUCUCUGCAGUGUUGGUCCCCACUGCAGUUUUUUUUGGGCAGUUGUUUCUCUGUAGCUCUGGAACUCCAGUUGCCAGUCCUGUGUCAGAGAAGUCCUAUGUCUGGUGUCCCCUACACAUGGCAUGUGAGAACCUUGGGGUGAGCCUGUGCAAGUGGUGACGCCUGGAGGAGAAGCAGUGAUCAUAGCUUGGCUGGGUCAGGGUGUGUCACGUGGCUCCUCGCGGCAGACCAGCUUGGUAUUGGGCACUGUAGCUUUUCCCUGGGGAUCUUCCAUUUGUCCAGCCCCCACCUGUUGCGAUGCGCCGGGACAAGCCUCAGGAGAGGGCAGCCAGCUGGCCAGCUGACCACAUCAAGGUGCUGAUUGCCCUGUGGGCGGAGGCGGCCACCUCACACGACCUGAGCUCGCGCGGCAGAAACAGGGUUGUCUAUGAUAGCAUCUCCCAGCGCCUGGCUGAACUGGGCAUCUACCGCACGGGGGACCAGUGCCGAGAAAAGAUGAAAGGCCUCAAGGUGACGUAUCGCAAGGCCAAAGAGAACAAUGCAGCUGGGAGGCCGCCCAUGCGCUGCCCCUUCUAUGAUGAGAUGGACCAGAUCAUGCAACUCUGUGAGAGCACCCGCUCCAGUCUCCUGGCGGAGAGUGGUGAAGGAUCCAGUGCUGUGGACCGACAGGAGGGCAUGGCUGCUCCAGAGAGCUGGGGGACACCAGCCUUUGAGCCCUGGGAUUCCCAGGCUGCUGCUGCCUUUGAACACUGGGAGUCCCAGGCCUCAGCCUCUGACCAUUGGGGGUCCCAGGCUGCUGCCUCAGAGAGCCAGGGGGCUGAGGAGCUGAGCUACAUGCUCCCGGAUGCACAGGCCCCGCUGGGCGAGGUGCAGGCCGUGCAGGUGAAGGAGGAGGAGGCAUCUGCGGAUGAACUGCCACCUGAGCCUGGCCCUUCCCCAUCUGCAUCGGCAGAGCCCCAAUCGGCCUCCCGGAAGCUGGUCUCAGCGCUGGACCGGCUUGUGCACCUCCGGGCCAGGAAGCGCAAGGCAAGGGAGGAGGGACCGCUGGAAACACCACGGGGCCCCAGCCAGAAGCAUGGACGCAGCCAGCUGGAGUUGAAGAGGGCACGGCGAGGUGGGACCUGGCGGGCAGAGGAGAGGCAGAGCCUGGCCGAGUUCAUCCAGCACGACCGGGAGAUGCGGCGGGAGGACCGGGAGUUCCAGGCCCAGCUCCUGGAGAAGCUUUUCCAGAAGCAGCUGGAGAUGGUGUCAGCCCUGGCCCAGCCUGCCCCACCCGUGCAGGAACCAGAGUUGGUGACACAGGAGAGGGCCAAAGCGGGGCUCCAUCUCCACACUGUGCCGGAGCAGGCGGUGCGGAGGCGGCUGCCCCUGCCGCUGCAGGGGCCCUGGAGCGAUCUGGGAAAGCGCCCCAAGCUGUCCAGUAUUGGACGGCAGAUGAGAUCCUGCGCUGGCUGGUGCCACAGCAGCCACUGAAUGGGCAGCAGCCUUGGGGGGAGCGGUGUCGGGAGGGGCUGCCGGGCCUCUCAGCCCCUCUGGCCUCACGUGGAGAUGGGGAGGUGGGUGAGACAGAACCCAAUCUCUCUUCCUCCAGACAAGUGACCGACACCUGCCAGGGGCCCAGCGGGCCGGGGGAAGCCCGACUCCUCCCCCCACUCACCAGGGAAACCCAACAAGCCCCGGCCAGCCUGGAUGUCAGCGAGGCCGGUGACGGUGCUAAGGCGAGGGGUGCCAUCCUGCGCUGCUACGACACGGAGAUGCAGCGCCAGCGCUUCCGGGGCUUCCGCUACCAGGAGGCCCAGGGGCCCCGGGAGGUUUAUGGCCGCCUGCAGGAACUUUCCCAUCGCUGGCUGCAGCCAGAGACCCGUACCAAGGAGCAGAUGCUGGAGCUGCUGGUUCUUGAGCAGUUCCUGAGCCUCCUGCCUGAGGAAAUGCAGAGCUGGGUGCGGGAGCGUGGCCCGGAGAGCGGCCAGGAGGCCGUGGCCCUGGCUGAGAGUUUCCAGCUUGUCCCCCACAAGCCAGGAUGGCAGCAGCCCCAGGUGCAGGGGCCAGUCCAGGAAGGAGCCCGUGAUGCCGGUGCUGCACAGCGGGCCCUGCUGGUGGAGCAGCAGAGGGCAUGCCAGGGGGCCAGCGUACAGGAGAAUGGCUGGCGCGGCGGCUUGUUGGGUG